rnacentral:sRNA from 1 species
GCCGGGCAUGGUGGCGCCUGCCUGUAAUCCCCUGGCUGGGGAGGCUGAGGCAGGAGGAUUGAGAGUUCAAAGCCAGCCUCAG